rnacentral:rRNA from 1 species
AUUGAACGCUGGCGGCAUGCUUUACACAUGCAAGUCGAACGGUUACAGGCCUUCGGGUGCUGACGAGUGGCGAACGGGUGAGUAAUGCAUCGGAACGUACCCAGAGGUGGGGGAUAACGCAGCGAAAGCUGUGCUAAUACCGCAUGUGAUCUGAGGAUGAAAGCGGGGGACCGAGCAGCAAUGUUUGGCCUCGCGCCUUUGGAGCGGCCGAUGUCGGAUUAGCUAGUUGGUGGGGUAAAGGCCUACCAAGGGGACGAUCCUUAGCUGGUCUGAGAGGACAACAGGCCACCGGGGAAUGAGACACCGGCCAGACCCCUAAGGGAAGGCGCAGGGGGGGAUUUUUGAAAAUGGGGCGCAACCUGAACCAAGAAUGGCGGCUGGGGGAAGGAGGGCUUCGGGUUUGAAAACGGUUUUGGGAGGAAAGAAAAGGUGUUCCCUAAAAACCGGGCGUAAUGGCGGUUCCUGCAGAAUAAGCACCGGCUAACUACGUG